UGCGGGGUGGAGCAGUUCGGUAGCUCGUCAGGCUCAUAACCUGAA
rnacentral:tRNA from 1 species